rnacentral:rRNA from 1 species
UAUCCACUGUGGGCGUAGGAGAUUUGAGGAGAACAUUCCCUAGUACGAGAGGACCGGGAAUGACGCACCUCUGGUGUUCCUGUUGUCGUGCCAACGGCAUCGCAGGGUAGCUAUGUGCGGAACGGAUAAGCGCUGAAAGCAUCUAAGCGCCAAGCCUCCUCCAAGACCAGAUCUCCCUUUCUACUUCGGUAGAACUAAAGGCAGGUUGUAGACUACGACCUUGAUAGGCUGGAUGUGUACGCACAGCGAUGUGUUUAGCUAACCAGUACUAAUCUGCCGUGAGGCUUGAUCUUAU